UACGGAGGGUGCAAGCGUUAUCCGGGUUUACUGGGUUUAAAGGGUGUGUAGGCGGGCUUUUAAGUCAGUGGUGAAAUCUCCGGGCUCAACCCGGAAACUGCCAUUGAUACUAUUAGUCUUGAAUUUUGUUGAGGUAGGCGGAAUAAGUCAUGUAGCGGUGAAAUGCUUAGAUAUGACUUAGAACACCAAUUGCGAAGGCAGCUUGCUAAACAAAUAUUGACGCUGAGGCACGAAAGCGUGGGGAUCAAACAGG
rnacentral:rRNA from 1 species